rnacentral:rRNA from 1 species
UCCUACGGGAGGCAGCAGUGGGGAAUUUUGGACAAUGGGCGAAAGCCUGAUCCAGCAAUGCCGCGUGUGUGAAGAAGGCCUUCGGGUUGUAAAGCACUUUUGUCCGGAAAGAAAUCCUUGGCUCUAAUACAGUCGGGGGAUGACGGUACCGGAAGAAUAAGCACCGGCUAACUACGUGCCAGCAGCCGCGGUAAUACGUAGGGUGCGAGCGUUAAUCGGAAUUACUGGGCGUAAAGCGUGCGCAGGCGGUUUGCUAAGACCGAUGUGAAAUCCCCGGGCUCAACCUGGGAACUGCAUUGGUGACUGGCAGGCUAGAGUAUGGCAGAGGGGGGUAGAAUUCCACGUGUAGCAGUGAAAUGCGUAGAGAUGUGGAGGAAUACCGAUGGCGAAGGCAGCCCCCUGGGCCAAUACUGACGCUCAUGCACGAAAGCGUGGGGAGCAAACAGGAUUAGAUACCCUGGUAGUCCACGCCCUAAACGAUGUCAACUAGUUGUUGGGGAUUCAUUUCCUUAGUAACGUAGCUAACGCGUGAAGUUGACCGCCUGGGGAGUACGGUCGCAAGAUUAAAACUCAAAGGAAUUGACGGGGACCCGCACAAGCGGUGGAUGAUGUGGAUUAAUUCGAUGCAACGCGAAAAACCUUACCUACCCUUGACAUGGUCGGAAUCCCGCUGAGAGGUGGGAGUGCUCGAAAGAGAACCGGCGCACAGGUGCUGCAUGGCUGUCGUCAGCUCGUGUCGUGAGAUGUUGGGUUAAGUCCCGCAACGAGCGCAACCCUUGUCCUUAGUUGCUACGCAAGAGCACUCUAAGGAGACUGCCGGUGACAAACCGGAGGAAGGUGGGGAUGACGUCAAGUCCUCAUGGCCCUUAUGGGUAGGGCUUCACACGUCAUACAAUGGUCGGAACAGAGGGUUGCCAACCCGCGAGGGGGAGCUAAUCCCAGAAAACCGAUCGUAGUCCGGAUUGCACUCUGCAACUCGAGUGCAUGAAGCUGGAAUCGCUAGUAAUCGCGGAUCAGCAU